rnacentral:rRNA from 1 species
UACGGAGGAUCCGAGCGUUAUCCGGAUUUAUUGGGUUUAAAGGGUGCGCAGGCGGGAGAUUAAGUCGGCGGUGAAAUUUUGCAGCUUAACUGUAAAAGUGCCUUCGAAACUGGUUUCCUUGAGUGUAGAUGAAGUAGGCGGAAUUUGUGGUGUAGCGGUGAAAUGCAUAGAUAUCACGAGGAACUCCGAUUGCGCAGGCAGCUUACUAAACUACUACUGACGCUCAGGCACGAAGGCGUGGGGAUCAAACAGGAUUAGAUACCCGGGUAGUCCCUGA